UUGCCUCAUGCUCUUUCAGAAAUCACCAAAGCUGAGCUGCCGCCACCUGAGCUCGAAGCUGGAUUCUUCCUUUUGAGAACUUUGUUUUGGAGAAUCACCGCGGCGACCUCGUCCAUCUUGAUGAUGCUCUUCUCCACUAGAAAAGCAGUCAUCAAGGAUUCAUACGAAGGGGGGAGCGAUGCUAGCAAGACUAGCAUCCUGGUCUUC
rnacentral:lncRNA from 1 species